UCCGAUGCGUAUUCCGGAACCCGUCCAGAGGCAUAGGCCGGGACAGGAAGGCAAAUUUGGAAAACGAUCACUGUCCUCUCUGGGCAUUCGGGACCUCAACCUCUUAAUGGGCUGCCAGCUUGCUUCCACUGCCAGCAACCAGGACACCUCAGUUGCAAAAAGCUGUCCCCAGGGCCAUGCCUUCAGUGCCAUCGCACAGGGCACUGAAAAGAGGGACUGUCCUACUCUCCAGAGAGGGAGGGAGCCAGCCCAAACCACGGGCCAGGAUGGGAGGACAGGCUUGACGGUCAGCUGCCUCUGAUGAAGAACGUGGUGCAGGAGAAGACCUUCUCUGAAGAAGCCCAGAGGUGCAAUAAUAAUCAAAGCUUUGAUGUCCUAAGUCUUCAUCUUGAAGGAUUAAGUAUGUAUAAAACCCUAAAGCCCUAGACCUGUUAAUGGCUAAAGUUAAAAAGAAAAAAAAAAUUGUGACCCCCUUCUAAAAACUUUUGUUUUUGUUUUUCUCUUGCUUGGGCCUUACAUCGUCAAUGCCUUCAUCGAGGUCAUUUCUCGCCUCUAGACCAUCAAAUUAUAAAGCCUCCACUGUCCUUUCGAAGUCCUUCAAUCGUCAUCUUGCGGUGGAGCCCUGACUAUUUCCCCUCAUCACCCACUUUCAGCAGGAAGCAGUUACUGAUCAAAACGACGCCCUUUUCCCUGACUGCAGUUAGGGGCUCCAUUCACAAAAGGGGAAAAAUAAAGCAUAGGACAAGUUAGGGUAAUUAGGCAGUUUUAGGAACAGUGCAGGAGGGGACCUCUAAAAAAGUUUUAAAAGGCUUCAAAAAUAAAGACAACUAAAGAAAUGUGUUAACACUGGCCUUAGUUUCCUUCAGGUAAUAACGAAGAGUGGUUUAAUUAGGGCAGGAGACUCAUUUAUGAAAAGAAAAAAAAAAAAGGUUAGCAUUAAGACUGAUGGGUGGCAGCCUGUUUUUCUUCAAUAGCUAAUGUUUAGUGACCAGAUAAAUAACUCUGUGACUGGCUAACUAAAAGAAAUCCCUUGUUUGAGCAGAGUAAUUCUCAUUUAAGAAUGGCAAUUUUUCAACUUUGUCAAACCCUUAGUGUUGCUCAUGCUAAUGCUAACAUUUGGCCUUUUUAUACUCAAUCGCUUGCAAAUGCUGGUCUUACACAGUCAAUACCUUAAAGUAGAAGAAGACCAACUGUGAGGCUAGGAUUAGCCUCCUCUCACAGUUACAAGAAAAAGGGGGGAUUGUAAGAUAUUAAAGAAUUAGGCAUAGCAAGACAGCAGCUAUUUUAAGAAAAACAGACAUUUUAAAGGGCACAGCUAUGCCCUAGUUUCAUUUCAAGGCAAAAACAACCAGACUGGGGUAAAAACCACAAGACAAGGGUAAACAAAACUUAACUAGUGCCAAGGAGAGAUACCCAAUCAGGCCAAACUUGGCCCCUGGUGUGAAAAGUCCCUGCAUCCUGUCAGCAAAGUACGAAAACAGUUGGUUGCCCUGGGAGG